CACGUAGGGUGCGAGCGUUGUCCGGAAUUAUUGGGCGUAAAGAGCUCGUAGGCGGUGUGUCGCGUCGGCCGUGAAAACCUGCAGCUUAACUGUGGGCUUGCGGUCGAUACGGGCAUCACUGGAGUUCGGCAGGGGAGACUGGAAUUCCUGGUGUAGCGGUGAAAUGCGCAGAUAUCAGGAGGAACACCGAUGGCGAAGGCAGGUCUCUGGGCAUUAACUGACGCUGGAGGAGCGAAAAGCAUGGGGGAGCGAACAGG
rnacentral:rRNA from 1 species